UACGUAGGGUGCAAGUGUUAAUCGGAAUUACUGGGCGUAAAGCGUGCGCAGGCGGCUUUGCAAGACAGAUGUGAAAUCCCCGGGCUCAACCUGGGAACUGCAUUUGUGACUGCAUGGCUAGAGUACGGUAGAGGGGGGAUGGAAUUCCGCGUGUAGCAGUGAAAUGCGUAGAUAUGCGGAGGAACACCGAUGGCGAAGGCAAUCCCCUGGACCUGUACUGACGCUCAUGCACGAAAGCGUGGGGAGCAAACAGG
rnacentral:rRNA from 1 species